rnacentral:rRNA from 1 species
GACGUAGGGGGCCAGCGUUGUUCGGAAUUACUGGGUGUAAAGGGUUCGUAGGCGGUGCGGCAAGUUGGGAGUGAAAUCUCUGGGCUUAACCCAGAGGCUGCUUCCAAAACUGCUGUGCUUGAGUGUGGGAGAGGCGCGUGGAAUUGCAGGUGUAGCGGUGAAAUGCGUAGAUAUCUGCAGGAACACCCGUGGCGAAAGCGGCGUGCUGGACCACUACUGACGCUGAGGAACGAAAGCUAGGGGAGCGAACAGG